UAGGAACUAACACCUAAAUAGCUGCAAAGCAAAACAGAAUAGUAAGGGUUAAUCACCCAAACUAAACAAUCCAGGGAAGUGUAAAUAGGAAAAGAUCUCACCAGGGCCCAGACCAGCAGUAGCUACACGAGGCAGGAAAUGCAAAGACAAAGGAGGAGUAAAACUUUCAGUUCGUGAAUGAAUCGUGUUCGCAGACCGAACGCGGCCAGUGUGGCAAAACAUGCG